AAACCAACAGGGAUUGCCCUAGUAACGGCGAGUGAAGCGGCAACAGCUCAAAUUUGAAAUCUGGCACACGCCCGAGUUGUAAUUUGUAGAGGAUGCUUCUGGGCAGCGGCCGGUCUAAGUUCCUUGGAACAGGACGUCAUAGAGGGUGAGAAUCCCGUAUGCGACCGGCAGGCACCCGUCACGUAGCUCCUUCGACGAGUCGAGUUGUUUGGGAAUGCAGCUCUAAAUGGGAGGUAAAUUUCUUCUAAAGCUAAAUACCGGCCAGAGACCGAUAGCGCACAAGUAGAGUGAUCGAAAGAUGAAAAGCACUUUGGAAAGAGAGUUAAACAGCACGUGAAAUUGUUGAAAGGGAAGCGCAUGCAACCAGACUUGUCGGCGGUGUUCCGCCGGUCUCCUGACCGGUCCACUCGCCGCCGGCAGGCCAGCAUCGUUUGGGACCGCCGGACAAAGGCGGGGGGAAUGUGGCUCCUCGGAGUGUUAUAGCCCCCCGCACAAUACGGCGCGCCCCGAGCGAGGUCCGCGCUUCGGCUAGGAUGCUGGCGUAAUGGUCGUAUGCGGC
rnacentral:rRNA from 1 species